CAGGUGGUUACAGCUCCAAUUCAACCCCUAGUCUGGAAAUUUACAUGUGCCCUGGGCGCGGCCCUCGAAAGAAAAAAGUCUGCCCGUGUCUUUCCAUGUGAUGAAACCAGGGGGGAGGGUCUGCCAAGCACAGGUCAGGUUCAAAACAGGAAACCCCAGGGUAGUGAUAAAUGGACACUUCUCUGCAGAUUUUGCAUGGAUCUCAAGGGAGAGUUCUGGAACUGAUCUCAUUCUGUUCUUUUUUUUUUUUUUUCUUUUUUACAAAUCAUGUUGAGGAGGAAACACACAAUGAGCUCUCCAGGUUUGCCUGCAACACUAAUCUCUUCCAGGUGCUGCAAUUCUAAGGUAACAGGGAAACACAGCAGGAAGCUUCUAGGCACUUACUGGUGGGGGGCAGGAAGAACGUGGAGUCUGGGGAGAAGCAGAGCCAGGCCCUGCUGCCCUGAGUUCUCAGGAGCUCCGCAAACGCUUCUGGGAGCUCCGGCAGCUCCCGGUGUUGGUGUGGGUGGUGGGGGCGAGGUGGGACAGAAGAGCGAGGCUCCCCCAGCCACCUGGGAGCCUCUGGGGCAGGUCCUUCUCCCCGGCCUACACAGGAAGCCUUCCCAGAAUCCUUCGCUACACGCUUUGGACACCCGGUGUUCCCAGAAUUCCUCAUCCCUGCUGCAGUCUUCACUCGGCAUCAGCAGACCGAGCUGAGACAGGUCCUCAUGGAUUAGCACCUUUUUAUGAGAAGAGGAACAGAGCCAGAACCCUCUCCCCAUGGGAGGGGACAGUGGAAGGCAGCCACCUCUGAGCCACGAAGGGCGCUUUCAGCCCCGCGGACCAGGCCCGCACCCUGAUCUUGGACACCAGCCUCCAGAGCUGCGAGAAGACAAGUUUCUCUCGUUGAAGCCGCCUGGUCUCCGGUCUUUUGUUAGGGGAGCCUCCGGCAGGCACACACUCCUACGAAGCCACCAGGCGAAGACGGCUACCUGCAAGCCAAGGAGAGAGGCCUCAGCCCGCUCACAGCUUCACCUUACAUGUCUCCAAAAGUGUGUCAUUUAAGCCACAUCAUUCGGGCGGCCCCGGCAAGCAUGCGAGGAUCAUUCACCAUUGUUCACACUUCCUUUAAAUGAAGCGCUGCUCUCGGGCAGGAAGCAGGGUUCAAGUGGGGCAAAGUUCCACCUCUUCUGGGAUUUCUGGUGGUUAAGACGAGACCGGGUGGUGGCUGGAGGCCACCUGCCUGAGAGAGGGCCGCACGUAGAGCGGGGACAGCACAAACGGACACACUGUAAAUCAACCAUAAUAAAAAGCAUUUGUUUUGAA